rnacentral:rRNA from 1 species
AUUGAACGCUGGCGGCAGGCUUAACACAUGCAAGUCGAGCGGGGGAAGGUAGCUUGCUACCGGACCUAGCGGCGGACGGGUGAGUAAUGCUUAGGAAUCUGCCUAUUAGUGGGGGACAACAUCUCGAAAGGGAUGCUAAUACCGCAUACGUCCUACGGGAGAAAGCAGGGGAUCUUCGGACCUUGCGCUAAUAGAUGAGCCUAAGUCGGAUUAGCUAGUUGGUGGGGUAAAGGCCUACCAAGGCGACGAUCUGUAGCGGGUCUGAGAGGAUGAUCCGCCACACUGGGACUGAGACACGGCCCAGACUCCUACGGGAGGCAGCAGUGGGGAAUAUUGGACAAUGGGGGGAACCCUGAUCCAGCCAUGCCGCGUGUGUGAAGAAGGCCUUAUGGUUGUAAAGCACUUUAAGCGAGGAGGAGGCUACUUUAGUUAAUACCUAGAGAUAGUGGACGUUACUCGCAGAAUAAGCACCGGCUAACUCUGUGCCAGCAGCCGCGGUAAUACAGAGGGUGCGAGCGUUAAUCGGAUUUACUGGGCGUAAAGCGUGCGUAGGCGGCUUAUUAAGUCGGAUGUGAAAUCCCCGAGCUUAA